rnacentral:tRNA from 1 species
GGAAACGUGGCUGAGUGGCUUAAGGCACCCGACUGGAGCUCGGGAGGCGAUCUCAACAAUCGUCCGUGCGUUCGAACCGCACCGUUUCCGCCA